rnacentral:rRNA from 1 species
GACGAACGCUGGCGGCGUGCUUAACACAUGCAAGUCGUACGGUAAGGCCCUUUCGGUGGUACACGAGUGGCGAACGGGUGAGUAACACUUGAGUAACCUUCCCACAACUUUGGGAUAACGCUAGGAACCUGGUGCUAAUACUGGAUAUGUGCUCCUUCUGCAUGGUGGGGGUUGGAAAGCUCCGGCGGUUGUUGAUGGACUCGCUGCCUAUCAGCUUGUUGGUGGGGUUGUGUCCUACCAAGGCGGCGACGGGUAGCCGGCCUGAGAGGGUGACCUGCCAUAUUGGGACUGAGAUACGGCCCAGACUGCUACGGGAGGCAGAAGUGGGGAAUAUUGAACAAGGGGCGCAAGCCUGAUGCAGCAACGCCGCGUGCGGGAUGACGGCCUUCGGGUUGUAAACCGCUUUCAGCAGGGACGAAGCUUUUUGUGACGGUACCUGCAGAAGAAGCACCGGCUAACUACGUG